rnacentral:rRNA from 4 species
CCACCCGAUCCCAUCCCGAACUCGGAAGUGAAACGUAGCUGCGCCGAUGGUAGUGUGGCCUAAGCCAUGCGAGAGUAGGUCAUCGCCAGGG